AUUGGAAUGUGCUAAUAUGCUAAAAAAUUGGAAUGAUACAGAGAAGAUUAGCAUGGCCACUGUGCAAGGAUGACAUGCAAAA
ensembl:snRNA U6 U6 spliceosomal RNA